AUUGAACGCUGGCGGCAGGCCUAACACAUGCAAGUCGGACGGUAGCACAGAGGAGCUUGCUCCUCGGGUGACGAGUGGCGGACGGGUGAGUAAUGUCUGGGGAUCUGCCCGAUAGAGGGGGAUAACCACUGGAAACGGUGGCUAAUACCGCAUAACGUCGCAAGACCAAAGAGGGGGACCUUCGGGCCUCUCACUAUCGGAUGAACCCAGAUGGGAUUAGCUAGUAGGCGGGGUAAUGGCCCACCUAGGCGACGAUCCCUAGCUGGUCUGAGAGGAUAACCAGCAACACUGGAACGGAGACACGGUCCAGACUCCUAGGGGAGGCAGCAGUGGGGAAUAUGGCACAAGGGGCGAAAGCCUGAUGCAGCCAUGCCGCGUGUAUGAAGAAGGCCUUCGGGUUGUAAAGUACUUUCAGCGGGGAGGAAGGCGAUAAGGUUAAUAACCUUGUCGAUUGCCGUUACCCGCAGAAGAAGCACCGGCUAACUCCGUGCCAGCCGCCGCGGUAA
rnacentral:rRNA from 1 species